AUUGGGCAUGGUGGUGCAUGCCUGUAAUCCUAGCUGCUCUGGAGGCUGAAGAAGGAGGAUCACAUGUUCAAGGUUGGCCUCUGCAAUUUAGUGAGACCCUGUCUCAA
rnacentral:sRNA from 1 species